rnacentral:rRNA from 1 species
CUUAGUGGCGGACGGGUGAGUAACGCGUGGGUAACCUGCCUUAUACAGGGGGAUAACAGUCAGAAAUGGCUGCUAAUACCGCAUAAGCGCACAGGACCGCAUGGUGUAGUGUGAAAAACUCCGGUGGUAUGAGAUGGACCCGCGUCUGAUUAGGUAGUUGGUGGGGUAAAGGCCUACCAAGCCGACGAUCAGUAGCCGACCUGAGAGGGUGACCGGCCACAUUGGGACUGAGACACGGCCCAAACUCCUACGGGAGGCAGCAUG